rnacentral:rRNA from 1 species
GUUCGCCAGAGAAUUACAAGCACGCCGCUUCAAACCCAAAGAACUUGACGGUGUCCCACACCAACCUAGAGGAGCCUGUCCUAUAAUCGAUACUCCCCGUUCUACCUCUCCCGCCCUUGUACCUCAGCCUAUAUACCGCCGUCGUCAGUCCACCUGUUAACAGCCACCAUAGCCGGCACAAUAGUCAACCACAAAAACGUCAGGUCAAGGUGUAGCUGAUGGGCUGGCCAGAGAUGGGCUACAUUUCCACGCAGUAGGAGUUACCAAACACAAUAUGAAACAUGAGUUAAAAGACGGAUUUAGCAGUAAGCAUGGACAAGACACGCCACCCUGAA